rnacentral:rRNA from 1 species
UGGGGGAUAUUGCACAAUGGGGGGGAACCCGUGAUGCAGCGACGCCGCGUGGGUGAAGAAGCGCCUCGGCGCGUAAAGCCCUGUCAGCAGGGAAGAAAAUGACGGUACCUGAAGAAGAAGCCCCGGCUAACUACGUGCC